GACGAACGCUGGCGGCGUGCUUAACACAUGCAAGUCGAACGGAAAGGCCCUGCUUUUGUGGGGUGCUCGAGUGGCGAACGGGUGAGUAACACGUGAGUAACCUGCCCUUGACUUUGGGAUAACUUCAGGAAACUGGGGCUAAUACCGGAUAGGAGCUCCUGCUGCAUGGUGGGGGUUGGAAAGUUUCGGCGGUUGGGGAUGGACUCGCGGCUUAUCAGCUUGUUGGUGGGGUAGUGGCUUACCAAGGCUUUGACGGGUAGCCGGCCUGAGAGGGUGACCGGCCACAUUGGGACUGGGAUACGGCCCAGACUGCUACGGGAGGCAGCAGUGGGGAAUAUUGCGCAAUGGGCGGAAGCCGGAUGCAGCAACGCCGCGUGCGGGAUGACGGCCUUCGGGUUGUAAACCGCUUGCGCCUGUGACGAAGCGUGAGUGACGGUAAUGGGUAAAGAAGCACCGGCUAACUACGUG
rnacentral:rRNA from 1 species